UGCGCACUUCCGUUUUGCGUUCUCCGGUUCUUUCAGGCUCGGUGGAAGAUGGUAAAGUCAGAACGUACCGAUUGUAGCUGUUGCUUUAAACUACCCUGGUCGUUGUACAUUCAAGCCUAGCACUGCGCAGCAUUAUUUUCAGCGUCAAACCGCUAAAUGUUUUCAGAGCCGCUAUCACAUAAAUUAGCAGCGCGCCAGGCUGACAGCACGCUGUGGACGGGCAGAUUUUCUUCGCGUUCACUAACUCGUAACCAAAGAAAAAAUACAAUUUAGCUACGCGUGUGAUGUGACACCAACCCGUCGUAGCAAACGUCUGUCAACUUGCUACUGAGACUGAAUGUGUUUGACUUGCAUAGAGUGGUCAUAAUAUGGAUUAUGUGUAUAAUCCGUUUUUUGACGCAAACCAACCUGUUGCAAAUUUAACAUGAAUAGCCCAUAGUCUACAUAAUAUUGUCUUGUCCAUUGUUUUGUUUUUUAAGAAAACCAACACAAAUGUAUCAGCGUUUGUGUAUUCAUUUGAGAGUUCAAUUCACUUGCUAAAAAUAAGCGCAUCAGAACUUCCCAGUUUAUUCUCAUUUAACAGCCUGGGGCACCUGUGGCUCAGAACACAUUUUAUGAUCUGAGGGGUGGAGCCUUUGGUUACUUCACCACAGACCCUGUGUUAUAAAGUAGGCAAAGGCUCCACCUCUCAGUGACCACCUAGGUGAGGACUCAAAAGAGAAACCUGCACAUACAGAGAGUACCUCAAGACAAAACAUUCCUAUGAGGCAGACGCCAGUACCAGUAUGGCAGAAUUCAUCAAGAAGACUGUGUUGGAUGAAACCCCCAGUAGAAGGGGAUAAAAAGACAGAAGAUAGGACGGCUCCCAGUUCGAUGAGGAACACCAAUCUUGAUUGAUGAUCCGGGUCACAGCACCAAUGUGCCCUUCCUGGUCCCGUCCGUGAGUCAACACAGGAAGGAGUAAUGGAAUUAUUUUAUUUCCAAAACUACAAUCAUGGGACACACACAGUAUGGAUGAAUGAUGAGUAGUAGCCGGGAUAUAAACAGCAAUCCCACAGCAAUUCUCCAUGUAUCUGCUGUAUAAUAUACUGACAAAAGAACAAUUGAAAUGUCUUUCAAAGUCAUAGUGCAUUUAACAAUAAUAAAAAAAAAUAUUGUUUCCAUGUGUAAUCUCAUAUUCACAACAUCAGAAUAAACUAUCAUCCUUUUUAGUAUCAAAAGAAAUCAAAUUAACCUAAAAUUACUCUGUCACACUUGUGGCGAAGAAAUAUAAUGUACCACAUAUUUUCGUCAGCUAACAAAACCAGGCUGAUACGCUGGCUGGUGCUCAUGAGUUUAUAAAACAUAUAUUUUAUAUAUUUGUCAUAAAUUACCUGCAAUGAUGGGACACACACAGUAUGGAUGAAUGAUCAGUAGUCGACAGGAUAAAAAUGGCACUCUUAAAGAAGAUGCAUUCGUUAGCUAGCAUAAAACUCACAUGGCAAGUAACAUAUAGAGUGGCUUAUUUGACGCUAAACCAACAACAUUAAUUACUAAACAUAAAUUGCUAAUGUACGAGGUAAAAUGUGGGUUUUAUGAUUUAAUGUCAACUUUAUAUAUUUCUGUCCCUAGACCAUUCAAUUUUCAACUCACCAACAGCAAUUCUCCAUAAUUCUGCUGUGGAUUACCCAGAAUCGCAUACCUUUAUCACUGUGUUAGACAAUGUAAACACAGUAAUCCACCAGGAGGUGGCAUAAUGUCCAUUUUAUGUUGGAAUUUAACAAUUGAAUCAUACUGUUACAAGAGCAACUGUUGACAAUUUGCAGAGCCUCGCUGUAUAGUGGAAAAAUGGGAAAGGUUCAGGAUUGGAGGAAUACAUGACCAGGACAGUGGAGGAUGACCUGGUGGAAAUGAAUAAUAAAUGCUGCUCAUGCUGCAAAGAAUUUCCACUGUGUUGUUAGCAGAUGCUGAGACGGUACAACCUGCUGACUGAUGCAUACCAUAUACUUGGCCUUGGAUACCAGUUCCUACUCACCCUCUCAGUUACCCAGGUAGUUCCUACACACCCUCUUUUACCCAGGUAGUUCCUACUCACCCUCUCAGUUACCCAGGUAGUUCCUACUCACCCUCUGUUACCCAGGUAGUUCCUACUCACCCUCUCAGUUACCCAGGUAGUUCCUACACACUCUCUGUUACCCACGUAGUUCCUACUCACCCUCUCAGUUACCCAGGUAGUUCCUACUCACCCUCUGUUACCCAGGUAGUUCCUACUCACCCUCUCAGCAACCCAGGUAGUUCCUACUCACCCUCUCUGUUACCCAGGUAGCUUGUGAGUGAAGUUUCUCUACCUUAAAGUAUAUCAAGAGCACUCUCUCACAAGAACACCUAGAGGCCUUCAUGCUGAUGGCCACCGGGAAGGAAAUCCUAAUGGCCCUGGAUGCUGACAUGGUGAUCCAUAGAGUUGCAGAGAAAAGCCAGCUGUUGUGACAUAUUUCCUAUAACUUGCUUACUUACCAUUAUUUUACUCCUACAUUUCUAAUGUCUCUUUUUCCUGUCUUUGAUAUUGCUGUCCAAUACUUGGACAGAGUAAAGCCAGCCAGCUGACCUUGAGCAGCAGUUAGACAGUUCUAUGUUUCAGUUACGUUCUAUGUUUGGAGAGGUGUUCAACCAUUGUUUUUUAGAAGGUGUACUCCCAUGACUUAAAGCCAGCCAGCUGACCCUGAUCAGGAGUUAGACAGUUCUAUGUCUCAGGCGGCCGUGGGGGGCCAGUUCUGGUGGGCUGGUCUGGAUCAAAGUCCUGGGCCGUUUUCUACUCCCAGUCCAUCCCUGAAUGUAUGUAAUGUAUUGUCAUAAAACAUUUAAUUAUAAUGAUAACAUUCACCUAGGAAUUCACUUGUUGAAGGCCACAGGACUAAAAAUGAUCAAAUUCAACAACCAUCUCCAUGUUACUAACAAAUAUAGUCAUGGGUGGUAAAUGCUACAAUUCACUCGAAAAGGCAAGGCACACAGGGAAAUUAUAUUGGGGCUUAUUUUUUAUACACCUCAAAUGUGAACCCCCUACAGGAUCACAGUGACUCUAUCGGUUUAAGUGAGGACUACAAAAUCACUUUAAGUAACUGUACUCAGAUAUACUAAGUGCAAUGGGUUUCCUCAAAAGUUUUGAGUAAUGACAGGGUUUACAGUGUAUGAUCAAUAUAUUAUGCAAGUUUGAUUUACAUUUUAAUAAUUCUACUUUUUCUGUAUUUAAACUAUUUUAUUUUGUUGUGAAAUUAAUCUUGCUGCUCUGUGUGCCACUGACUUCUUUACCUUUUGGCCUUGUUUUGCAUAUAUUUCUAUAAUCCUUAUUAUACUGUAUUUAUUAUUAUAUAUAUUUAUUCCUCAUUUGUAAAUGUUGUUUAUGGACUCACGUUGUAAAAUAUCUGUUUAUUUUUCCCCCUUCUGGAACAAUAAAGACUUACUGAACUGAACAUUUGAACAUA